rnacentral:rRNA from 1 species
GACGAACGCGGCGGCGUGCCUAAUACAUGCAAGUUGAGCGCUGAAGGUUGGUACUUGUACCAACGGAUGAGCAGCGAACGGGUGAGUAACGCGUGGGGAAUCUGCCUUUGAGCGGGGGACAACAUUUGGAAACGAAUGCUAAUACCGCAUAAAAACUUUAAACACAAGUUUUAAGUUUGAAAGAUGCAAUUGCAUCACUCAAAGAUGAUCCCGCGUUGUAUUAGCUAGUUGGUGAGGUAAAGGCUCACCAAGGCGAUGAUACAUAGCCGACCUGAGAGGGUGAUCGGCCACAUUGGGACUAAGACACGGCCCAAACUCCUACGGGAGGCAGCAGUAGGGAAUCUUCGGCAAUGGACGAAAGUCUGACCGAGCAACGCCGCGUGAGUGAAGAAGGUUUUCGGAUCGUAAAACUCUGUUGGUAGAGAAGAACGUUGGUGAGAGUGGAAAGCUCAUCAAGUGACGUAACUA